rnacentral:rRNA from 1 species
AUUGAACGCUGGCGGAAUGCUUUACACAUGCAAGUCGAACGGCAGCACGGACUUCGGUCUGGUGGCGAGUGGCGAACGGGUGAGUAAUAUAUCGGAACGUGCCCAGUCGUGGGGGAUAACGUAGCGAAAGCUACGCUAAUACCGCAUACGAUCUACGGAUGAAAGCGGGGGAUCGCAAGACCUCGCGCGAUUGGAGCGGCCGAUAUCAGAUUAGGUAGUUGGUGAGGUAAAGGCUCACCAAGCCGACGAUCUGUAGCUGGUCUGAGAGGACGACCAGCCACACUGGGACUGAGACACGGCCCAGACUCCUACGGGAGGCAGCAGUGGGGAAUUUUGGACAAUGGACGCAAGUCUGAUCCAGCCAUUCCGCGUGCAGGACGAAGGCCUUCGGGUUGUAAACUGCUUUUGUACAGAACGAAAAGGUCUCUAUUAAUACUAGGGGCUCAUGACGGUACAGUAAGAAUAAGCACCGGCUAACUACGUGCCAGCAGCCGCAGUAA